CUGUAUUCUUUUAUUAAAUACUUUUUCACUAAACGCAAAGAAGAAAAAACAUUUUGGCUUUCUGUGGCUGGAAAUGGAUUCUAGAGAUUGAUUGCAUGAUAGGAUCAUGCUGCCUUGUCAGAUUCAAUACUUAUCUCAAGAGUAUGUAAAAGAUUACAGUUCUGCAGAAAUACUUGAGGCAUAUAUUAACAAAAGCAAAAACAAAACAAUAGAAAAAUCUAGUUCAUGGAUUGUGAAAUGACAUUGUAAUGUAAACUGAAACAUUUUUCUUUUUUAUACAGUCAUAUUAACCAUGUCAUAAGUGCAACAUUAUAUGUUGAUUUUGUUUUGUGCUAGACUCCUUAUGGGUUAUUCACUAAAGUAAGAUUUUUUGGGAAUUCAAAGUGAAUUUCAAUUUUUUUUUUGCAGUUUUCAGACAUCACUCUCAUCACAAGUGGUACACAUAGUGUCUGGAUAUGUCAUCAUCCUGCUGCAUUAUCAAGCAUAAUCAAAAAUAUAAAGAAAAGGAAUACAGACAAAACAGAG